GAUGAACGCUGGCGGCGUGCCUAAUACAUGCAAGUCGAGCGAACAGACGAGGAGCUUGCUCCUCUGACGUUAGCGGCGGACGGGUGAGUAACACGUGGAUAACCUACCUAUAAGACUGGGAUAACUUCGGGAAACCGGAGCUAAUAACGGAUAAUAUAUUGAACCGCAGGGUUCAAAAGUGAAAGACGGUUUUGCUGUCACUUAUAGAUGGAUCCGCGCCGCAUUAGCUAGUUGGUAAGGUAACGGCUUACCAAGGCAACGAUGCGUAGCCGACCUGAGAGGGUGAUCGGCCACACUGGAACUGAGGCACGGUCCAGAGUCCUACGGGAGGCAGCAGUAGGGAAUCUUCCGCAAUGGGCGAAAGCCUGACGGAGCAACGCCGCGUGAGUGAUGAAGGUCUUCGGAUCGUAAAACUCUGUUAUUAGGGAAGAACAAAUGUGUAAGUAAAUAUGCACGUCUUGACGGUACCUAAUCAGAAAGCCACGGCUAACUACGUG
rnacentral:rRNA from 1 species